rnacentral:rRNA from 1 species
UACGUAGGGUGCGAGCGUUAAUCGGAAUUACUGGGCGUAAAGCGUGCGCAGGCGGUUUUGUAAGCCAGAUGUGAAAGCCCCGGGCUUAACCUGGGAAUGGCAUUUGGGACUGCAAGGCUUGAGUGCGGCAGAGGAGACUGGAAUUCCCGGUGUAGCAGUGGAAAUGCGUAGAUAUCGGGAGGAAUACCGAUGGCGAAGGCAGGUCGUCUGGGCUGACACUGACGCUCAUGCACGAAAGCGUGGGGAGCAAACAG